GCCCCUGACUCCGGGAUAAGCGGUGGAAACGCCGUCUAAUACCGGAUACGACCCUCCUCCGCAUGGUGGGGGGUGGAAAGUUUUUUCGGUCGGGGAUGGGCUCGCGGCCUAUCAGCUUGUUGGUGGGGUAACGGCCUACCAAGGCGAUUACGGGUAGCCGGCCUGAGAGGGCGACCGGCCACACUGGGACUGAGACACGGCCCAGACUCCUGCGGGAGGCAGCAGUGGGGAAUAUUGCGCAAUGGGCGAAAGCCUGACGCAGCGACGCCGCGUGGGGGAUGACGGCCUUCGGGUUGUAAACCUCUUUUACCACUCACGCAGGCCCCACGUUUUCGUGGGGUUGACGGUAGGUGGGGAAUAAGGACCGGCUAACUACGUGCCAGCAGCCGCGGUAAUACGUAGGGUCCGAGCGUUGUCCGGAAUUAUUGGGCGUAAAGAGCUCGUAGGCGGCGUGUCGCGUCUGCUGUGAAAGACCGGGGCUUAACCCCGGUUCUGCAGUGGAUACGGGCAUGCUAGAGGUAGGUAGGGGAGACUGGAAUUCCUGGUGUAGCGGUGAAAUGCGCAGAUAUCAGGAGGAACACCGGUGGCGAAGGCGGGUCUCUGGGCCUUACCUGACGCUGAGGAGCGAAAGCAUGGGGAGCGAACAGGAUUAGAUACCCUGGUAGUCCAUGCCGUAAACGUUGGGCGCUAGGUGUGGGGACUUUCCACGGUUUCCGCGCCGUAGCUAACGCAUUAAGCGCCCCGCCUGGGGAGUACGGCCGCAAGGCUAAAACUCAAAGGAAUUGACGGGGGCCCGCACAAGCGGCGGAGCAUGUUGCUUAAUUCGACGCAACGCGAAGAACCUUACCAAGGUUUGACAUCACCCGUGGACCUGUAGAGAUACAGGGUCAUUUGGUUGGCGGGUGACAGGUGGUGCAUGGCUGUCGUCAGCUCGUGUCGUGAGAUGUUGGGUUAAGUCCCGCAACGAGCGCAACCCUUGUUCCAUGUUGCCAGCACGUAAUGGUGGGGACUCAUGGGAGACUGCCGGGGUCAACUCGGAGGAAGGUGGGGACGACGUCAAGUCAUCAUGCCCCUUAUGUCUUGGGCUGCAAACAUGCUACAAUGGCCGGUACAAUGGGCGUGCGAUACCGUGAGGUGGAGCGAAUCCCUAAAAGCCGGUCUCAGUUCGGAUUGGGGUCUGCAACUCGACCCCAUGAAGGUGGAGUCGCU
rnacentral:rRNA from 1 species